rnacentral:rRNA from 1 species
CCUACGGGAGGCAGCAGUGGGGAAUAUUGGACAAUGGGGGGAACCCUGAUCCAGCCAUGCCGCGUGUGUGAAGAAGGCCCUCGGGUUGUAAAGCACUUUCAGUGAGGAAGAACGCCUGGUGGUUAAUACCCAUCAGGAAAGACAUCACUCACAGAAGAAGCACCGGCUAACUCCGUGCCAGCAGCCGCGGUAAUACGGAGGGUGCGAGCGUUAAUCGGAAUUACUGGGCGUAAAGCGCGCGUAGGUGGCUUGAUAAGCCGGUUGUGAAAGCCCCGGGCUCAACCUGGGAACGGCAUCCGGAACUGUCCAGCUAGAGUGCAGGAGAGGAAGGUAGAAUUCCCGGUGUAGCGGUGAAAUGCGUAGAGAUCGGGAGGAAUACCAGUGGCGAAGGCGGCCUUCUGGACUGACACUGACACUGAGGUGCGAAAGCGUGGGUAGCAAACAGGAUUAGAUACCCGUGUAGUC